UUUUUUUAUCAAGUGUGAUUUUGGGUAAAUAAGCCCUCUGUAAUUUAGAUCUUUACUACUGUCAAGUCUGACUUGUCAAUGAGAAACCAGUAACUAGUCAAUGUCAAAACUGUGAAAACUGAAAACAAAUUCAGUAAAUUUGAUCUUUUAUGCUGCAUUGCUGAAAAUUGACAGUAAAUUUUCAUGUACUGAAAUGAAGGCUCAAUGCUGCAUUGCUGACUGGAUAAAUUCAUUGCUGAACAAUUUCUGAACUUUAAUUUGUUCAUUGCGUAUAUGAAGGCUCUCUAGCACAUCAGGAUGAUCCACUCAUCAAAUUACAGACUAGAUGAUCCGCUGCUACUCUAAUUCACCUCAAUUUGAUCUGCACAACAAAUUAACAUCAAUUUGACAUUGAUUUCAGGGCGCUGGCUACCUUUCAGUAGCAGCAGAGGCGGCGAGGAGGAGCUGGGUCGCCUGGACGAAGAAGAAGAAAUCGGCAAGGAGGAAAGGGUGGGCGGCGGUGGUCGCCUCUGUAGCAGGUGGGCGGCGGCGUUGGGCCCUACAGUGUUUGCGCUGGUCACCUCGGUGCACGGCAGUGGAGCAGCGGCUGCCCGAGGUCUUGCCCAACUCCCACAGCAGAGUGCCCGGCCUUGGCACGCCGGGGUUGCGACCGGAGAUGCCGGGGUUGCGACCGGAGAUGCGAGCAGAACGACGAGUAGAGCCGCCCAUGAGCCGUGGAAUCACCGCCCGUCGAGGUGUCGCCGCGGAGGAGCAGGUGGGCGGCGGCAAAGCUCGCCUCCGCAGCGCAACUAGGCAAGGGCGGCGCAAGAUGGCAGCUGCGGGGCAGGUGGGCGGCGGCGCAAGUGGGACUUCAUCACGCGGUGCUCGCAGGCGAUGGGGGGAGACGAAGGCUAGAGCAUGCGGUGCCGGCGGGCGUCAGGGGAGGAAGAAGGGCUGAUUAGAACUAGAUUUAAAAUGAAAGGUUUUUUUUGUAAAGUUACAAUUGAACUACGCUGGUGACAACUUUUCCCGGACGGAGGGAGUAUAUUGGUAGUACAGUUGCAUCGAGGGGUAACGCAUAAAGCCAAGCCACUGACGUUAGCUAUCAAAAAUUUCAUUCCAAGCCAUGACAACUAAUAUUCUCGCACUCGGUUGCAUCCAAAUGGACAAGCAUGCUACCAGAUUGACCAUAUGGAUUACAGCACCGCCAACCACUUGUAUAUAUGACUUGAACAGGCAUCAGCCCAGAGAAGGGUGGACAUAUAAAAAAGCUUCAUUGCUGCUCCAAGGCAUACUUAUUACAACUAAUCAGAAAGCAUCAUCAGAACUAAUCAGACUUGAAGUACUUCAUGGUGGUAGUUCAUACUCUUGUAGCUUGUGAUUAUCUAAUAUCAAGAUUUCUAGGCGGGCAAUUUUAUUCAUAUACGUUUCAUGAAAAUUAUGUCGUUAAAGGAGGUAGUAGUUCAAGGUAGCCCACUGAAAGCUAAGGAAUUAACCACAUAGGAGAUCAAGAUGUAGAAUACACUGAAGUUCAAAUGAACAUAUUACUGGAAAUAUCAACGGUGCAUAGAAAGGGGGCAACACACAAGAGGCAAACAUAGACAUAUAUAGGGGAGGAGUGCUGCAGAUUAGGCUGCACCCCUGUGGGCCCUGGGAGUAAGCAUGUAGGCACGCAAUAUCCAACGCAUUCAUAUGGGCAAACCCCACUCUAUAUCCGAUACACUUGGCGAUCCGCGUUGCAGAUGCUCUUACACCCCUGUGUGACAUUUCAGCAUUCAAAUGGUUGCUCACUGAAAGCAAGCCAUCCCAAUUUGCACGCUUCCACCUAGUCACACAAAACCCUAACCCUAACACAUACCAUAAAUACAAGUGAUGGUAUCUGAUCUCAAUACACCUCUGAAUGAGCCUUACUCAUCAUCGCCAUCAACAGCACUUUGGCGCAAAUCCCACAAAGAGAACAACAGAGAAGCCAAUAGUCAAAGAGCGCAAGAUGGCAAGGAACCACAGGAGAAUCAGUAAAAGCAGAAAGAAUCACUAUAUCAGGAGCAAAUCAUGAACUGGUGGACACAAAAACUGGGACAUGUAUAAGUAAAUGGCUCAGAUACACUCCCAUCUCAACACUAUAACUGAAUUUCUGGUAGAAUGACCAUGAACAUUUAUAUUUGUGAACGGAGGGAAUAACAGUUAAGAAGGGAGCCUUGGAGCAGCGGUAAAGCUGUAGCCUUGUAACCUUGAGGUCAUGGGUUCGAGUCCUGGAAACAGCCUCUUGCAGAAAUGUAGGGAAAGGCUGCGUACUAUAGAUCCAAAGCGAUUGGACCCUUCCCCGGACCCUGUGCAAGCAGGAGCUACGUGCACCGGACUGCCCUUUAGGGAGUAAUAGUUAGCCGCUAAACUGGUUACUUGCUGUGACACAAGCCAUCCUAGUUUAGCACCAAGUAAAUCGAUUCAGGUGUUAAGAUAGAAGCUCUCACAGGGAGGUUAUAUCAUCACAGCCAUUCAUGAACAUGAUACGAAGAAAACAGUAAUCUUGACAGCUGAACUUGCCCUAUACGACCCUUAAGUUGAAACCAGUAAAGAAGUAACGCGAAACCAAAAGUACAAACUGAUAAGUAGAUAAAGAGUACAAUAGAAGGAUGAAAUUAUCAAGUCAAAUAGCAAUUGAAACAAGCAAACUGACCCAGCACCAAAUAAGAUAGUUUCAAAAGCCAUCCAAGGGACAGCAGAAUUAUCAUAGCCAUUCAAGAAGAAGGAAGAAACGGAAAAAGGAAAAAAAACAGAAGAAAUAAUUAAGUGUGGCUGGAGUACUGUUCCUAAAACAACAGAACUCGUUGACUACUGCAAAACCAACAAAAUGUGUAGGAAAAAAGGAAAAACAGUCCCUUGCAUCCACCAGACCAUGAUUUUACCGAAAGAACUAAUAUCAUAACCAAACUCUCAACAUAUCUUUAACAUAUACAUGGAUGCGAGCAAGCAAGAAAUACAAAUUCUCAGAAAGGAAAAGAUCAGUUCAAAUUUUGGGAAGGAAACACUUAUUUUUACUCAGAACUUUAUUGGGCGGGAGUCUCGGAAUUGGCCAAUUUAUAGAAGGUAGUCAUGGUAUUUUUGCAACAAGAGAUUAUAAGAGGUAGAUACAGGCUUAUGACAACAUUGUGUUUUUCCACGUAUUGCCUUCUAUAAGCAAUUAAAAUGGUCAUCAGCAGAAAGCAAACCGUGCAAAUUGUAUUCCUUGAGACCAGUUAGCAGUUGCUGUGCUGGACCAAAACAGUAGAAAAGAAGUUUGACAACUUGCCAACUUGAAUGUACAUCACUGCCAAAAGAACCAGUAAAAAUUUAAUAGGGGUAGUAAAUAAGGACAUGGAAUAUGACCAAAGAACUAGCCAUGGGCAAUUGGGCAGGGGUGCGAGGAAGCUAGCUAUCCAUGUGCCAGAACCAUGAGUUGGUUGCGAGAUCCUAUGGGUUUGCUGUUUUCCAUGUGCCAGCUCUAGCCUACCCCAACUUGUUUGGAACUAAAGGCUUUGCUGUUGUUGUUGGUAGUAAAGGAGGACAUGCACAGAUCAUCUUCCGCAUAUUUAACCACUCAACAGAAUGACCAUCCAAGACAGAGCCAUCAAUAUUCGGUCAGAAUGAAAAGGUCAUAAAAGAGGGGAGAGCGUUUUUUUAAUACCCACGGCUCCUCGAAUAAUCGAAGACAGGUUUAUUGUCAGCCAAGUUUGAUCAUCAUCGCCCCUUAUAAAUAGAUAGAGAGAUCCCUUUGCGCAUGCAACAGGUAAGGGUGAAAAGUCGGUUGGACCAGAUACAGAAUAUCUGCAGCUAAGCACAGUAUCAGCAGCUGGAGGGCGAUUAGAACAUGAGGAAUAGUUCACAAAAUCCUGGGGAAUUUUUGGGGAGUACUAUUUGAAUGAGUGACUCAAACACCAUGAAUCACCAAAGUUGGGAAAUGCUUCAGGUGGUACAAAGUACUGGGAAAUUUUUGGGGAGUACUAUUUGAAUGAAUGAAGUGGUACCAUAAACAAUAAAAUAUCUGUCUCCCUCUCCCUCUCUCUCUCCAGCAACAAAUUGCCGCAACUAGUAACUUGCUGCAGCGCAAGGCCUCCUAGUUUAACGACCAGCUGUCUAACUGGGCAAAUUUGAAUGGAACCAACCUAGGAGACGUGAAAGCAUCUCUAUCACAAGAUAGUUGAAAGAUCUCCAACGCCAAGGGGCAGAAAUCACCAUAGCCAUUCAGAAAAUAAUAAAACUCAUCAACACACAACGGAAACAAAUAUGCUGUGUUCAGAAGUUAACUUGGAACACUGCACUGAUGUCCGUAUUACUGGCAACGAAAGAAGCAAUUGACAUUUGUACACUUCAGAUAAAAGGAGUAACUACAAGCCAAAUAAAAAUAGGAUGACAUAAACUUUCCGUUUUGAAACAGCAGAAAAGCAUAAGCUUGCAAAAAGGGAUGCACAUAAUACAAACAGAAAACAGGAAAUGCAGCUCGCCCGUUUAUCCCAUGAAAAAUGGGUUCUAAUGCUAAAUAGUCAGACAUGUAACACUGGAUAGUGGCAAUACUAUUCCACCAUGAAACUGAACAGCGGUCAGUCCAACCUCUGGCAAAAUGAAAACACAGCCAAAUCAAGAAUACUGAAUAAAAUUUAAAAUAUAUAAUGAGAAGAGGGCCAACCGCCAACAUAUAAAUCCCAAAUGACUCAAGCAAAAGCUCCAGGAGGACAUCCAGUUAUGAUAAGACAAAAUCAAGGUUUUUGAGUCGAUGAGUCGGCGAGUCGCUCAGGGGGGGCGACUCUAGACUAGUCGUGACUCAUGGUCGACGAGUCGACAUGCGAUGAGUCGACGUGAGUUAAGUAGUAGGGAGCAGACCAGCGGCAACUAAGGGAGGAGCCGCAGCAGCAAGAGAUGGGAGGGGCAGACCUGCAGUAGCAGCAACCAAGGGAUGAGCAGCAGCAACCAGGGGAGAAGGGGACGAGCAGCCAGCCAGCGGCAGCGGCUGCUGCAGAAGAGAGCUGGGUCGGGGGAGGGGAGUGGAACUGUUCGAUCUAGGUUUCCAGACGCUCCAAUCUUCCUUCAAUAUUGGCCCAGAAGCAAUAUUAGCCCAAUAAGGCCCAAUGAAACCCUAGCCUGCCUAGCUCAAUCUGAACCAUCUAUAUUCUCUAAUCUUCACCGUCCAUCCACUCUCUUCUUUCUCUCUCUCUCACCUGCUCCCCUUCCAGCCUCCAGGAACGAAUCGACAGCCGCAAUGGCCUUGCUGCAGCUCCUCUUCCAUGGCUUCUCUGCCUUCGCCCCUUCCUCUCCGCCUCCCCCAUCCUUCUCUGCUCCGUUUUCUACGCCCAACUCCUCUUCCAUCACAGGUUGAUCGAGUCGUUCGACUCAAAAACCGCGACUAGUCGAGACUAGUCGGGACUAGUCGAUCAAGUCGCUCGACUCAUCCAAUGAUUCGAGUCGACAGGUUGAGUCAACCUUCAUGUAACGACUCGUCGACUAGUCGACGACUAGUCGCGACUAGUCGUUCGACUCGAAAUCCAUGGACAAAAUAUAAGAGCCUUUCUAACAAAUACACUUUUGCAGUUGAUAAAUUUAUUUGACACUCAUUUCGAAUCCGUGCAAGGGAUCUGUGCCACGUUGAUGCAUCAGAAAUGUGGCAGUUAAUAUUGACAGCAGCAGCUAAAGAAUAGACUAACUACCAAUGAACUAAAUAGCAUAGAGAAUCAUAACAAAAGGUCUGCUCUGACCAAAACAAAUAUGAAGGUAAUAUGAGCUUCAGAUUAUAAAAAACAGAGACAUAGCAGAUCAAAGGGCAAUCGAUAACCAGAUGAAUAGAACUGUCAAUAGCUACAAGCAUUGGAGGAAAAAAGGGCAAUCGUUUGACUCAUAUAUAGUACGUACAACUAGAAAGGCAAAAACGAUGCCAACUAGAAACCAACCCAAGUAAAGCUAGGGUUGUUGGGUUCGUCACCAAGAGAAGAUAUCAAUCCAGAUCCGGAUCUCACAUCAACACAAUAGAGAAAUAGAAAAUUAAAAACAAUGUAUAGUGGAGAAAAAAAAACUGAGUAUUUGUAGCGUAGCAAGAGGGCUCAGUUUUGCCUUUUAUCUUGAAGCCCAACACUCACGUCUCUUGCUGCAUAACCUACCCAUCGCGAUGUAAUUGAACUGCCCUGGUUAUCACUCAUCAGAAUGACCAUCCGAGGCGCAGAACAUCCAACAUUAGCCAUGAAUUGAAUAGGCUGCAAGAGAAGUAAGGGUGAGAGCUCUUAAGGGCAUCUCCAACGCCGGCACCCAUUUGGGGCCUAUUUAGUACCCACAUGCCACGGCUGUCUUGAUUGCUCAACACAUAAUUAUUUCAGCCGCAGGCAUCAUCAUCGCCCUUUUUUUUUAAAAAAAAAAAGGUCAAACCCCCCAAGCAACAUGACCAUAACAUCCAUCAUCCAUCCAUCCAUUCAUCCAUCAGACUAGCCAUAGUGGUGAGUAACUUAGACAAUCUCAGGAGCUGCUCAUACCUGGCCUUGACCGACCAAACCUCCUGGUGUGGACGACACAUCAGACAACGCCUUACGGUUCCCAGCCACGCCACAACCAAAUCCAAGGCAAUGGACUGGCGGCGGCUGGCAGCACCGUAGAGACCGGGAACUGACAUGGCAGCUACCCGGACGAUGGGUCAGCGAGUCGGCAAUGAAAGCUUGACUGAUUUGUUUAAGGGAGAGANNN
rnacentral:lncRNA from 1 species